UUACGGUCAUAUCACGUUGAAACAUUGGUUCCCGUACGCUCAGCGAAGUUAAGCAAUGUCGAGUCUGGUCAGUGCCUAGAUGGGUGACAGCUUGAGAAUACCAUGUGCUGUAA